UACAGAGGGUGCAAGCGUUAAUCGGAGUUACUGGGCGUAAAGCGCGCGUAGGUGGCCAAUUAAGUCAAAUGUGAAAUCCCCGAGCUUAACUUGGGAAUUGCAUUCGAUACUGGUUGGCUAGAGUAUGGGAGAGGAUGGUAGAAUUCCAGGUGUAGCGGUGAAAUGCGUAGAGAUCUGGAGGAAUACCGAUGGCGAAGGCAGCCAUCUGGCCUAAUACUGACACUGAGGUGCGAAAGCAUGGGGAGCAAACAGG
rnacentral:rRNA from 1 species